UACCUUUUAUUAAAUCUAUUUUUAAUUAAUUCAAAUUAAAAUUCUUUUAAAAAUAAUUUUAAAUUUAUAAGUAAAAUUUAUAUUUUAACAUUAAUUUCUGAUAAAUUAUGAGUUAAAAUUUUGUAAAAAACAGGGAUUAGAUACCCCUUUAUAGAAAAUAAUCUUUAAAAUAAAGUAGUAAAAGUAUUUAUAGACUUCAAACUUAAAAAAUUUGGCAGUAUAUUUAAAUAAUUAGAGGAACCUGUUCUGUAAUCGAUAAUCCACGUGAGUAUUAACUUUUUGUUCUUGUGCUUAAAUAUCGCUGUAAAAUGUUAAUUUAGAAAAUUUUUUAUUAAAAUUAUCAUUUAAGAUAAUAUUUCAAGUCAACACUUAGCUAUUAAAGAAGAAAUGGGUUACAUUUAUUUAGAAUAAUUAGAUAGAAUUUGUAAGUUUUUAAUAAAAAGGAUUUAAAAUUAAUAAAAAUUUAUUCAGGUUUUAUGAAUUGUCAAUUUAAUAUGUACAAAUUGCCCGUCACUCCUAUUUUUAGGAUAAGUCGUAACAUAGUAAGAUUACUGGAAAGUAAACUUAGAAA
rnacentral:rRNA from 1 species